AGGAGGGGGAGGAGGGGAUUGGAGGGAAACCGGAGGAGAGGAAGAGGAAGGGGGAGGGGUGGAAGGAGAGGAGAGAAGUGAUAAGUGAUGGGGUGGGGGGAUGGAGGUGAUGGGGGGGCCCGAGAGGAGAGGUGGAGGAGAGAGGAUCCUGGAGGUGCGGAGGCACUGGCCUUUCUCAGCCCCGCCAACGCCUCCUCCCGCCGAGGUGGGCCAGCUGGAAGGCUGCCAAGUGCGCGCCCGCCGGGCUCGCCCCGGGCGAGCCCAGCGCUCGCCGGCGACGUGGAAAACCUCGAGAGUUUUAAGACGUCAGGGCGAAUCGCGAGGUGCUUUGGGGAACGCCGCACGGGGGCCUCGGGGUCCCGCGGAGUUUUUGGGGACGCACCAGGCCGCGUCGGGAUGCCCCGCUCGGGAGGCCGCAGCCUGGGGGCCGCUCACACUCUGUUGGCAUCUGUCCGCGCCUGUGUACGUGGCUCUUGACGUGGAGAGCUGUGCCUGUGGACAGCGUGCACCGGAGGGAGGGACGAAAGGAUGAGGCCUUGGCCCAACCUCUGUGCCCUGGGAGUCCCAAAGCCACUGCUAUUUUGUCAGAUUAACCCCCCAGACCCACGAGGAAAUCCUUGAGGCUUCGGGGAACGUGGGAUUUGUAGUGCCGCUGGUUCCAGAUGGUUCCUCCUUCAGACUUUGGCAAAUCGGCAUCCCAAAGAUUUCCUCUUAUCCUUCUGCUGUGUUGAGCAGACAUUACCCAGACACGGCGCCCGGAUCUCUGCUCUUGGAGUUUCCUGGAUCCCUCCAGUGAGGAUGAUGGAUUGAGAACAGAGUUGCCUCGGGGUCAGUCUCCCACCAGCGAGACUUUCUCUUCUGACCGUUCUACUCCAUCCAUGCCAAGCAUAAAGAAUAGAUCCUGUGAGCACACAGCAAGAUGGCAGCUGCUGACGAGCCAGGAAGAGAAGUCUCACCAGAAACUGACCGUGCUGGUACCCUGAUCCUGGACUUCCAGCCUCCAGAACUCAUGGCCACUGACCGACGAGUGUUGUAGGUCUGCACCCAGGAACUGAACCUGGACUGCUGAAGUGGAGCAUGCCAAAGUUAACCACUAGGCCACUGGAGCCGGCCUGCAUUAUAUAUAUAUUUGUU
rnacentral:lncRNA from 1 species